rnacentral:rRNA from 1 species
UACGUAGGGUGCAAGCGUUGUCCGGAAUUAUUGGGCGUAAAGGGCUCGUAGGCGGUUUGUCGCGUCGGGAGUGAAAACCAUGGGCUUAACUCAUGGCUUGCUUCCGAUACGGGCAGACUAGAGGUAUGCAGGGGAGAACGGAAUUCCUGGUGUAGCGGUGAAAUGCGCAGAUAUCAGGAGGAACACCGGUGGCGAAGGCGG